AAUAGUUUUUUAAAUGGAAACUGGAAUGAAUGAAGUGAUGAGAUUUAGACUGUUUUAAUUUAAAUAGUUAAAUUUAUUAAUUAAGUGAAAAUACUUAAAUAUUAGUGCAUGGGACGAGAAGACCCUGUAGAAUUUUAUAUAAGUUUGAUAAAAAAGUUUAUUAUUGAAAUUAUUAAAUUUAUAUUUUAUUGGGAGGAUAGUUAAAUUAGUUAAACUUUAAAAAUAAAAAUCCAUUAAUUUAUGAAUUAUGAUUUAUAUAGUGUGAUAAAAAAUUUAAGUAGAAUUAAUUACCUUAGGGAUAACAGCGUUAUAUUUUUAGAGAGAUCUUAUUGAUAAAAAUGAUUGC
rnacentral:rRNA from 1 species